CUCAAUUAUGUUCCCGCGAGAGUGCUGAGGCAUACAGUAAUUCAUAAGCCCGGCUAGCCCAGUAAAACAGGAAUAAGUCUUAAAGUCAGCUUUUGGUCUGGAGCUCUGGGUACAUGCGACUGCUCAGAAUGGUGGUCAUUCUUUUUUUUUUUUUUAACUGCUCCUCUUCUGGUUGCUUUUUCUCACUUGAUCUGUGAACCCAAUUGUGGGUAAAUGCACCUAUCU